GCGAGACGGUGGGGCCUCGGCCGGGCUCGACCGAUAAACUGUCCCCGGACGACGCCGGGCGCAGCCCCCGUCGCGUCGCGUCCACCAAUGAUCAGCCAGCAGCCGCUGCAACCCCAGGGAG
rnacentral:sRNA from 1 species